UUUAUUGGAGAGUUUGAUCCUGGCUCAGGAUGAACGCUGGCGGCGUGCCUAAUACAUGCAAGUCGAGCGAAUGGAUUAAGAGCUUGCUCUUAUUAAGUUAGCGGCGGACGG
rnacentral:rRNA from 1 species